rnacentral:rRNA from 1 species
UCAAGCUGUAAAGGGCGCAAGGGGAAUGCCUUGGCACUGAGAGCCGACGAAGGACGCGACAAGCUGCGAUAAGCUACGGGGAGCCGCAAAUGGGCUUUGAUCCGUGGAUUUCCGAAUGGGGAAACCCGAUGGAGCAAUACUCCAUCAACCAUGACUGAAUACAUAGGUCAUGGUGGGGAACCGCCUGAACUGAAACAUCUAAGUAGGGCGAGGAAGAGAAAUCAACCGAGAUUCCGCUAGUAGUGGCGAGCGAACGCGGAAGAGGGCAAACCGGAGGAUUUAUCCUCCGGGGUUGUGGACAGUUUUUUAGCAACUGGAACUAGGAGAACGGUAUGGGAAGGCCGGCCAUAGCGGGUGAUAGCCCCGUAUCCGAAAGGGAAGGUUGUGCGACUGGAUCCAGAGUACCGCCGGACACGUGAAACCCGGUGGGAAGCUGGGGGGACCACCCUCCAACCCUAAAUACUACCUGAUGACCGAUAGAGGAGCAGUACCGUGAGGGAAAGGUGAAAAGGACCCCGGGAGGGGAGUGAAAGAGAACCUGAAACCUUGUGCUUACAAGCAGUCAAAGCACGUUAAAGUGUGAUGACGUACUUUUUGUAGAACGGUCCGGCGAGUUAUAGUAACGAGCAAGCUUAAGGUAUUCAGUACCGGAGGCGAAGCGAAAGCGAGUCUGAAUAGGGCGUGUGAAGUUCGUUGCCAUAGACCCGAAACCGGGUGACCUACGCAUGAGCAGGUUGAAGUGGGGGUGAAACCCCAUGGAGGACCGAACCGACCCCCGUUGCAAUGGUGGCGGAUGACUUGUGUGUAGCGGUGAAAUUCCAAUCGAACUCGGAGAUAGCUGGUUCUCCCCGAAAUAGCUUUAGGGCUAGCGUUAGUUUAGAUUACCGGAGGUAAAGCACUGAAUGGUUUAGGGGCUGAUAAAGUUACCGACGCCUAUCAAACUCUGAAUGCCGGAUAAUUGAUGCACAGCAGUCAGACAGUGUGAGAUAAGUUUCAUUGUCAAAAGGGAAACAGCCCAGACCUACAGCUAAGGUCCCAAAUGUAUGCUAAGUGGAAAACGAUGUGGAAUUGCGAAAACAACCAGGAUGUUGGCUUAGAAGCAGCCACACAUUAAAAGAGUGCGUAAUAGCUCACUGGUCGAGUGACUCUGCGCGGAAAAUGUAACGGGGCUAAGCAUACAACCGAAGCUUAGGAUUGUCUAAAGACAGUGGUAGGGGAGCGUUCUAUAUGGGGUGAAGUCGCAGCGGGAGCAGCGGUGGACUGUAUAGAAGUGAGAAUGCCGGAAUGAGUAGCGAGAAUUAUGUGGGAAUCAUAAUGGCCGAAAAUCUAAGGUUUCUUGGGGAAGGUUCGUCCGCCCAAGGUAAGCCGGGAGCUAAGGCGAGGCCGAAAGGCGUAGUCGAUGCACAUACGGUUGAAAUUCCGUAGCCACCGAACCUUAAGUACACUGACACAUGGAGAUAGCGGGACCCGGGCGUUGGUUGACCCGGGCGUAAGGGACCGAACUUUAGUAGGGAAGUCCGCGAUGCUCUGUGGCGAGAAAAGGUGUAUGGUAUGCUAAGGUGCCCGUACCGCAAACCGACACAGGUAGAUGAGGAGAGAAUCCUAAGGCCAACGGGAGAAGGGUUGUUAAGGAACUCGGCAAAAUGACCCCGUAACUUCGGGAUAAGGGGAGCCUCCUACGGGAGGCCGCAGCGAAUAGGCCCAAGCGACUGUUUACCAAAAACACAGGUCUCUGCUAAAUCGAAAGAUGACGUAUAGGGGCUGACGCCUGCCCGGUGCUGGAAGGUUAAGAGGAGAUGUUAGCCGCAAGGCGAAGCAUUGAAUCGAAGCCCCAGUAAACGGCGGCCGUAACUAUAACGGUCCUAAGGUAGCGAAAUUCCUUGUCAGGUAAGUUCUGACCCG